CAUCAUUCCUAGUGAUUUAUCCUAUGACCAAAAUUGCAUAGUCUCUAAUUUGCUUGAUAAUAAAGAAGCAUUAAGUUGGUUUAGGGAGAACAUUAGUGAUACUUGUCCUAUAGGGAUGAACGAUUGUCACAUGCUAGAGAAAGUCUUUGUGCAUAAAAAUUUUCGAAAACAUUUUGAUUCUUUCUCGAAGCUUCCUCCCAUAUUUCCUUCCGGAAUUGGCUGAAGUGGUUCCUUCUUAGAACCUUCCC
rnacentral:lncRNA from 1 species